GGGGACGCUACGGAUUCGACAGGGGUAGUUCGAGCUUGAGUUGCGAGUCGAGGGGAUCGGCCUCGUUAAAACGUCAAAGCCUAUAACUGGCAAAACAAACAAUAACUUCGCUUUAGCAGCUUAAUAACUGUCUAAUGCGGUUCCUCCCUCCAUCGCCCAUGUGGUAGGGUCAGGGACUCACUCUUAGUGGGCUACGCCGGAGUUCGCCGUCUGAGGACGAAGGAAGAGAA
rnacentral:tmRNA from 1 species